rnacentral:rRNA from 1 species
CAGCCGCCGCGGUAAAACGUAUGUCACAAGCGUUAUCCGGAUUUAUUGGGCGUAAAGCGCGUCUAGGCGGUUAAUUAAGUCUGAUGUGAAAAUGCGGAGCUCAACUCCGUAUUGCGUUGGAAACUGGUUAACUAGAGUACUGGAGAGGUAAGCGGAACUACAAGUGUAGAGGUGAAAUUCGUAGAUAUUUGUAGGAAUGCCGAUGGGGAAGCCAGCUUACUGGACAGAUACUGACGCUAAAGCGCGAAAGCGUGGGUAGCAAAUAGGAUUAGAUACCCGUGUAGUCCCUGUCUCUUAUACA